rnacentral:misc_RNA from 1 species
GUGAAGAACGUAGUGAAAUGCGAUAAGUAAUGUGAAUUGCAGAAUUCAGUGAAUCAUCGAGUUUUUGAACGCAUAUUGCGCCCUCUGGUAUUCCGGGGGGCAUGCCUGUUCGAGCGUCAUUAAAUAACCCUCAAGCAUAGCUUGGUGUUGGGCUUUUUUACGUCCUUGACUGGGAUGGGCCUAAAAAUUAGUGGCGAUGGCUUUUUUACUUUCAAGCGUAGUAAAUCUCGUCUUGCUAAAGAGGAAAAAGAUUUUUUUUCUGCCAAAAAUUUUAACAUUUAAAGUUGACCUCGGAUCAGGUAGGAUUACCCGCUGAACUUAAGCAUAUCAUAAGCGGAGGA